GCCUGGCGAGGUGGCGCACGCCUGUAAUCCCAGCAGCUCCGGAGGCUGAGACAGGAGGAUCAAAGCCAGCCUCAGCAAUGUAGCUGGGCGCUAAGCAACUCAGUGAGACCCUGUCUCUA
rnacentral:sRNA from 1 species